GUACUCUAUCUAUCUCAUCGGUAUUAUUUAAUAAAGAAGAGUUGAUAGGAUGUCCUUUACAAGGGGUGUAAAAAGGAAUCACGUUUGAAUCAUUUUUAAGUGAAGAUGGUAAGACCCCAUUUAUAUACCAUAAUCGAAUGUAUUUAUUUAAUUUAUCCAACAAAAGUGUGUUAUAUAAAUAGAAGUCAUAGCUUGUCCUUCGUUAAAAGCCUUGUUUUUACAUAAAUACAGCACGAGUUGGUUAUUUUCUCGUGCAUACUGCUUAUAUCUGCACUAUUUCUGAUUCUUGAUUGGUUUGAAAUGGUACUCGGUCCACCUCCAGCGUCAUAGACUUGCGUCUCAUCGAUAUCAAGCUCCUACACCAAUCCAGCAUGAGGUAUCUUCAUCGGAUGCAGUAGUGCUAAAAUCCAAUUAUCUGGCAAAUGUACAUCGUUUUGCGCUUUCUGUGUUUUCGCUUCCAUUUUUAAUUUCCAGUGAAUGAGAAACACAUUUUGUAACGCCCUUAUCGCGCUCGGUGAGAAUUUGGCGUAAUGUAGAAAGACCAGGGCCGGUAGUAAUGUACCUACUCCAAAAGGCAAUCAACGCAUGCAAUUUGAUGGCAUUUACACACUGUUAAAGUAAAACUCAAAUGUUUUUAUUCAUCGUUUAAAUAAAAAAGUUAUAUUAUAAACAUAUUAGCACUAACAUUGUUAAAAAAAUUAUAGCUUCGCUGUAGAAAGUCGACUCCGAAGAGCGGUUUCACGCGUUGCAUGAAGGCCUGAAGGGCUAGUACGGGCGCAUUUAAGACGUGACAAGAGUUUUGCAUCGCGCUCACUCACAUCGCGCAGCCUAUAGAGCGAGCACGACGGUGAACUUUAGUCGCGUCUUAAUAGCGUCUCGUGCUACAGGGCCUGGAGCUAGUCCCACUGUGGCGAACCGCAGUCCAGUGGCGCCUUCAGGAGGAACUGAGCCUUUCGCCAUUGCUCAGGUCCCUUAACAUCCUUGGUUAAGUAUUCCUUAAGGUCGAUGAAAAACUCCCCAUAUAGGGACCGGAGCGCCGCAGGGAACCAUCAGCAACCUUUGUGGUCAUCGACGAGUUAGUGGAGUGGUGAUAUACUGACGCUACUGCCACGUCAUCGUUGCCGGACAGUACGCCGAAAAGGUCGUGAUCGUUGUUCUUACGCCCUGCAGCCUUCAGACAUUUUCUUAGACCGUCCCGAAGUCGUUGGCCGGUUGCCAUUGCUUUCUUGAAAUACCAGUGUCUGGAAAACUGACAUUGGUGUCUUAAGUCGCUAUCCAAAGUUUCUAUGAAAUUCCAUUGCAAUCCCGUCAGGUGUGUUGCAUAGAAGUCUCCUAGCUUCUCCUUAGUUAAAAGACCUGUUUUUGCAUUAAUACAGCACUAGUUGGUUAUUUUCUCGUGCAUACUCCUUAUAUCUGCACUAUUUCUGAUUGAAGCUCUUGUUGCGAUAUGAAACGGGAUAUUCUAUGGUGUAGUCUUCUUCCCGACGUGGCGUGACAUGAACUGGGUGACAUUUAAUCACAUGAAUCACGUCCCUUACGUGUGGAAUGUAUAAUUAUAAACAAACAACUUAAACAAACGCACUUUUGUCUUUAAAUCAAUUCUCUUCUGAGGAAUAAGCAGUUCCACUAUUUGGAUGAGGUUCCUCCCGAGAUCUUUAAAGAGCCGGUAGUUUUUUACGAAAUCGGCGUCUCUCAAGUCGAAUGGCUCCACCCGCCACAUCGCACGGCAUCACCUUCUAAUGAAGGAAGGGUUUUAGGCCUACUUCACUGAGACAUUUUUCGUAACUUUUUCAGUAAUUGCCAAUUAUUCAAUAUGCCUUUGCAUUUUACAUUUAAUUAUAGAAAACCAACACCGUGCUAUUAUUAUCUAAAUCAUCAUCAUCAGCCAAUAAUCAUCCACUGCUGGACAUAGGGCUCUCCGAAGGAGCGCCACAACACUCGGUCCUUGGCCUUUCUCAUCCAACCAGUACCGGCAGUACCGUAGACGAUCCCGAAGUCGUUGGCCGGUUGCCAUUGCUUUGCUGUGGAGAGUCUUUGGCUAACAGAUCCUUGAAAUACCAGUGUCUGGGAAACUGAUGUUGCUGUCUUAAAUCGCUCUCCAAAGUUUCGAUGAAAUUCCAUUGCAAUCCCGUCAGGUGUGUUGCAUAGAAGUCGUAGCUUCUCCUUCAUUAAAAGCUUUGUUUUUACACAAAUAUCUGCACUAUUUCUGAUUCUUGAUUGGUUCGAAAUGGUACUCGAUCAACCUCCAGCGUCAUAGACUUGCGUCUCACCGAUAUCAAGCUCCUACACCAAUCCAGCAUGAAGUAUCUUCAUCGGAUGCAGUAGUGCUAAAAUCCAAUUAUCUGUCAAAUGUACAUUGUUUUGCGCUUUCUGUGUUUUCGCUCCCAUUUUUAAUUUCCAGUGAAUGAGAAACACAUUUUGUAACGCCCUUAUCGCGCUCGGUGAGAAUUUGGCGUAAUGUAGAAAGACCAGGGCCGGUAAUAAUGUACCUAAUCCAAAAGGCAAUCAACGCAUGCAAUUUGAUGGCAUUUACACACUGAUAAAGUUAAACUCAAAUGUAAAUUCAUCGUUUAAAUAAAAAAGUUAUAUUAUAAACAUAUUAGCACUAACAUUGUUAAAAAAAUUAUAGCUUCGCUGUAGAAAGUCGACUCCGAAGAGCGGUUUCACGCGUUGUAUGAAGGCCUGAAGGGCUAGUACGGGCGCAUUUAAGACGUGACAGAGUUUUGCAUCGCGCUCACUCACAUCGCGCAGCCUAUAGAGCGAGCACGACGGUGAACUUUAGUCGCGUCUUAAUAGCGUCUCGUGCUACAGGGCCUGGAGCUAGUCCCACUGUGGCGAACCGCAGUCCAGUGGCGCCUUCAGGAGGAACUGAGCCUUUCGCCAUUGCUCAGGUCCCUUAACAUCCUUGGUUAAGUAUUCCUUAAGGUCGAUGAAAAACUCCCCAUAUAGGGAGCGGAGCGCCGCAGGGAACCAUCAGCAACGCUGUUCUGCAGGCAUCUUAUAAUGCCCCCAGGCAACAGUAUCAGUUGAGUUUUCAAAUAAUUUUCAAUUCGUAUCAUUAUGAGACAGUGAAAUUUUGGAGCAUUUUUGUGUAAAUGUAACAUGUUUUAUUGAUUUAAUCUCUUUAAAUCUUAACAUACAAUCGAUUUUUCGCGUUUGAUUAAAUAGACAUCUUUUAUAGUCAUUUAGCUGAAACGUCUUAGUUACAGAUUUAUUUAUGCCCUUCGCCUUAGCAAUAAAAUCAUUCUCUACCUCGAUUGCGUACAUUUUUGAACGUAAACCUACAAAUUCUCUGAAAAUAUUUACAUUAUUUUCAUCUUUAAAAAUCCUAUCUUUUUUUGUUAAGAAGUGGAAAAUUAUGACGAAUAUCGAUUGAAUAAUCAGAGGUAUCAAAAUAGUCUUUUAAAUUUGACUUUAUGUCGCUGUGUAAAUUUUCGGUUUGAAUGUGAUAUAUUAAACUAUCAGUAUCAGUGUACAUCAAUUUUAACCUAUCGUUAAAUUUGUUUUUUAUAUAUGAGUAGUGAAACUUGUACAUCAGUGUUUUGGAAAUAUCCAGAAUGCAAGAGCCGAGAUAAAUUGGCAGAUCAGAGAUUAUUACCAAAUAUGGCAUUAUUCAUUAAUUUGAAAAAAUAUUUUUCUAAAUCAGUUACGGUUACGGCUGAAGUUCUCAUUGAAGUAUUCAAAUCAAUAUUUUUUUUUAACCAGUCACUUUGUUUGUAUUUUAAAACUCUGUGAACUCUGUUAGUUCUAAACGAAACCAUAAAAAGUCAUGUCACACAAUUGUCUUUAAAACAAUCUCUGUACAGCCUUUAUGUGCGUAUGAUUUAACGGUAAGUAUUUCCACUUUGAACUGAACCAAUUAGUAUUGUUAAAAAUAUUAUUUAUUGGCGACGUUGGAAAUCGCCAAAAGAAUUCCAGGAGCUGAUCUCCUUUUGAUCCUUUACAACGUUUGGUAUACUUGUGACCUGCUUGGUCACCAUGUGAACUACUUUGUUCACUGCCAUCUCCAGUGGAUCCACAGGUGAACUCGUCAUGAAAAUCAUCUUCGAUGUGGCGUGUUUCCACCAAUGUUUCCUGUCUAAGAGCCAAACCACACGGGCGGCGCGGCGCCGCACCGCAAGCCAUUUCGCCGCGCUGGCGACCACACGGGCAGAGCGGCGUCGCAGCGGCGUCGCAACGAUCUACGGAGCCGCGGCCAUGGGCUUUUCAGCUAAUACAAAAUGUCACUCUUAUUUUUCAAGCUCUAAUUUUUUGUUUGUGAGCACAUCUAUAGAUGGCGCUGUAAUGGGAAUUAUAAUAAUGAUAAUUUAGUCCAAAUAAUAUCUGGCAACAUUAUUUUACUUUUAUUUAUUUUUAAUACUGGUAAUUAUUAAAACUCCGGCAAUGGUACGUUUCUUUACAGUCAAAAUAUUACGUCAAAUUCAACUGCUAUAAUAGUUAUUAAAUAUUUUAGUAUCUAGUCAUUCACGAAAAUUUAAUAAAAUAAAACAUUACAUAUAUAUUUAUAUUACUAAUACUGACAUCAAUAUGUUUAAAAAAUAUAGAAUUUGCAUACUACAAAAUAUUUCAGUGUGUAUAUGUCAUUCACGCAAUGUGUGCAUAAUACGGAACGUUAUUUGUUAUUACGGCCGCCAUAAUACAAAAUAUAACUUUUUCGGAUUUUUGUGAUUUUAUCGACAACUCUAGCUUUUUCGUGGACUCUGAUUUGCCUCCUCACCUUCUGACCUUUGCGAGUACUAUAAUUGACCUUGAUUUGGAUUUUGUACUAUGGCGUCGAAACAUAAGUGUUUUAUUCCUGGUUGUGACCAGAAUGAAAAACGUGAAACCACCAGUACCUUACAUAGGUUCCCCAAUCCUGAUAAGGAUGCUGGAAGAUUCAGAAAAUGGACCAAUGCUAUUGGUGGAAUGUUAUGUGUGGAGUAUUAUAAAAAAAGAAAUAAAUGUCGAAAACCUUA